rnacentral:snRNA from 1 species
GACGGUUGGUACUUUGUUUUCUC